UAAGGAAUAUUGGUCAAUGGGGGCAACCAUGAACCAGCCAUGCCGCGUGCAGGACGACUGCCCUAUGGGUUGUAAACUGCUUUUGUUAGGGAAUAAACCCCACUACGUGUAGUGGGCUGAAUGUACCUAAAGAAUAAGGAACGGCUAACUCCGUGCCAGCAGCCGCGGUAAUACGGAGGAUCCGAGCGUUAUCCGGAUUUAUUGGGUUUAAAGGGUGCGUAGGCGGCACUUUAAGUCAGGGGUGAAAGACGGCAGCUCAACUGUCGCAGUGCCCUUGAUAAUGAAGUGCUUGAAUGCGGUUGAAGACGGCGGAAUGAGACAAGGAGCGGUGAAAUGCAUAAAUAUGUCUCAGAACACCGAUUGCGAAGGCAGCUGUCUAAGCCGUUAUUGACGCUGAUGCACGAAAGCGGGGGGAUCGGACAGGAU
rnacentral:rRNA from 1 species